UCUACCGUUUGCCGCGUCAAACGAUCGGGAGUGGAAUUAAAAAGAAAAAGGAAAGCGCUUCAAAGCCGAACAUUCUCGAACUCCCGCCAACAUCAUCGCCUCCACCGCCUUUGCUCUUUACGACCGGACUCCCCUCUCGUUGCUCGUGUGGCUCCCAGCCAUUUCGAUGUCAAAGAAAAGAGGCCUCUCUUUGGAGGAGAAACGUGAGCAGAUUCUUCAAAUCUUUUAUGAGUCCCAGGACUUCUUUCUUCUUAAAGAGCUUGAGAAAUUGGGUCCUAAGAAGGGUGUGAUCAGCCAGUCUGUGAAGGAUGUUGUCCAAAGUCUAGUGGAUGAUGACCUGGUUCUGAAGGAUAAAAUAGGCACUUCUGUAUACUUUUGGAGCCUUCCUAGUUGUGCUGGAAAUCAGCUAAGGAAUACUUACAGCAAACUGGAAUCUGAUCUUUCAAGCUGUAGGAAGCGUUUUGCUGAACUUGUUGAACAGAGGGACAACCUGAAGAAAGGCAGGGAGGAAUCUGAUGAAAGAGAAGCUGCUUUAAAGGAACUGAAGACUGUGGAACUACAGCAUAAAAAGCUGAAGGAAGAGUUGGCAUGCUAUGCAGAUAAUGAUCCAGCUGCACUUGAAGCAAUGAGUAAGAACAUCUCUCAUCUCCUCCACAUAGGAAUGUUUUCGUCUUCUUCAGUGCUGAUAUUGCAUUCACAAAAAUGGAAUUGAGGUUGCUCAUUCAGCAGCUAACAGAUGGACAGACAACAUAUUUACCCUACAGCAAUGGUGUUCAACCAACUUUCCAGAAGCCAAGGAGCAACUUGAACACUUGUACAAGGAGGUGGGAAUAACAGAUGAUUUUGAAUAUUUGCAAUGAUCAUUGAAAAAUAGUGGUGCUGAAUCCUGAUUGCCUACUUCAGUGUGCAAAAUGUACUGGUCGCUUGAAAUUUUAGGUUCUUAGCCAAAAAGAGAGAAAUAUUAAGUCGGUGCUAGUGCCAGGUGGGAUUGAUUUGUUAGUGCAACUUGUUUUCGUUUUCUUCCUGUAAAUUUGGCAGUUUCUCUUGUUUUUGUACAGAUAGCUUGGCCAUAGCCUUAGCAUGAUUUCAAUUCUCUCUUGCAAUCAUGACUCAUGCAUGCUCAUGCCUGCAUUUCAGAAUUCUGGUAAAAAAGCCUGUAACUGGCAGUUCCUAUUGGAUUCCAACCAAACAAUAUAAACAAGGCCUCUGUUCAAAGUGACAACAUGCAGACCAAUGAAACUAUCCUCUUCAUCUCUUUGAUUUUUGAAUAGCACCGUGAAAUUUGGCCAGUGAUUUUCCAUGUAUGAUAGUUUAUACUUACAAUGUGCAGUUCAAGGUCAUAAUGAGUCUUCUAUCAGG